UCCUACGGGGCGCAGCAGUCGAGAAUUUUUCACAAUGGGCGAAAGCCUGAUGGAGCGACGCCGCGUGGGGGAUGAAGGGCUUCGGCCCGUAAACCCCUGUCAUUUGCGAACAAACCUUUCCCGUGAAUAGCGGGAGAGCUGAUGGUAGCGAAAGAGGAAGGGACGGCUAACUCUGUGCCAGCAGCCGCGGUAAUACAGAGGUCCCGAGCGUUGUUCGGAUUCACUGGGCGUAAAGGGUGCGUAGGUGGUGAGGUAAGUCGGAUGUGAAAUCUCUGAGCUCAACUCAGAAAUGGCAUUGGAAACUACCUUGCUAGAGGAUUGGAGGGGGGACUGGAAUUCUCGGUGUAGCAGUGAAAUGCGUAGAUAUCGAGAGGAACACCAGUGGCGAAGGCGAGUCCCUGGACAAUUCCUGACACUGAGGCACGAAAGCUAGGGGAGCAAACAGGAUUAGAUACCCCGGU
rnacentral:rRNA from 1 species